GACAUGCCCGUGAGCCAUCCAGGACCACCAGCCCCCAGUCAAUCCACCAGCUGACUACUACCAGAAAGCUGCCUGUGCUUUAAGGAAGACUGUAUACACCGUCUUUAGAGCCUUUGGGGAAAGAAUGAAGAAUUAUGCUCCCUGGCUGCAUCUAAGAAAACAAACAUACAAAUAAUCAAAAGAAAUAAAAAGAAUCCUACUGGCAAACUCAUCUAGUUAAACUACAUUCCACAGUGGAGGGGCAGGAACAGCUUCUUUCCUCCUUUCCUAGAAGGCAAAAAUAGAGACAAAAGCAGUAAGAAAAGGACAGCAUUAUAGCUUCCUGUUCAGCUAAUAUGAUUGUUUCAUCACAAAUAUUUUUUAGUUGCUGCAGUGCUUCAACAGACAACAUAAACUGAACUAACAGACCAGGAAUUAAGCCAAGAACUCUUCAGAGGCCAUCUGAUUUAAUUCUCCCUGCACUUCUGGGAAGAGAAUGUGCUCUGAUGCCCAUGGUACAAACGAAGAAACUGGACUUAAACCGCUUAAAUAACUUGCCCAGGAGAAUAUUUAACUAGUAAAGUGGUGGGGCUGGAAUUUGAAUCCAGGCAGUCUAGAUUCCAAACCACGGGUCUACACUCUUAACUAAAGUGCUACACUGCUUCCUAAAUGAAGAGCUGGAACAAAACACUGUGUAAGGAGUGCUUUAUAUUUUAGGAUCCUACUUUGGAUGAUGGGAAGGGAUAGCUUGGCUUUUAUUUUAACUGUCCUCUGGAGGCCUUGAAACUAAAAAGAAAAGGUGCGACCAUUAGGCUGCUUUCAUGUUGGAGUCCAUCAUUUAAAAUUAUUUUCCAGGAGUUCCCUUUGUGGCUCAGUGGCUAAUGAAUCCAACUAGGAACCAGGAGGUCGUGGGUUCGAUCCCUGGCCUUGCUCAGUGGGUUAAGGAUCCAGUGUUGCUGUGAGCUGUGGUGUAGGUUGCAGACGUGACUCGGAUCCUGUGUUGCUGUGGCUCUGGUGUAGGCCGGUGGCUACAGCUCCGAUUAGACCCCAACCCUGGGAACCUCCAUAAGCCUCCAGGGCAGCCCUAUAAAGACAAUAAAAAAAUAAUAAU
rnacentral:lncRNA from 1 species